rnacentral:rRNA from 1 species
UACGGAGGGUGCAAGCGUUAUCCGGAUUCACUGGGUUUAAAGGGUGCGUAGGUGGGCUAGUAAGUCCGUGGUGAAAUCCCCGAGCUUAACUCGGGAACUGCCGUGGAUACUAUUAGUCUUGAAUAUCGUGGAGGUAAGCGGAAUAUGUCAUGUAGCGGUGAAAUGCUUAGAUAUGACAUAGAACACCGAUAGCGGAGGCAGCUUACUACGCGAUUAUUGACACUGAGGCACGAAAGCGUGUGGAUCAAACAGG